rnacentral:tRNA from 3 species
GGAGAGUUGCCAGAGUGGUUAACGGAGCAGUUUGCUAAACUGUCGGCGGGUAACCGUCGCGUGGGUUCGAAUCCCACACUCUCCG